rnacentral:rRNA from 1 species
UGGGAGCGUCUGCCUAUUGGACGCCCGAAGGGCGUCAAGUUUAAUCCUUGGGAUGAAGAUGACGAAUUAUGGCGCCCCACUUGGGCUUACAAGUGGGAUGUGGUUUUCGAGAUGACGAACGAUGUCAAUCUCAUGUACCAAAAGUACAUUGCCGAGUUGGACAUGAUUACGCCUGAGCAGGUAAUGAGGACAUUACUUCAGUCAUUUCUCAUGCUUGCCUGA